rnacentral:rRNA from 1 species
UACGUAGGGGGCGAGCGUUGUCCGGAUUUACUGGGCGUAAAGCGCGUGUAGGCGGAAGCCUAAGUCCGAUCUGAAAGCCCCCGGCUCAACCGGGGAUCCGGACCGGAAACUGGGCUUCUUGAGUUCGGCAGGGGAGACUGGAAUUCCUGGUGUAGCGGUGAAAUGCGCAGAUAUCAGGAGGAACACCGGUGGCGAAGGCGGGUCUCUGGGCCGAUAUUGACGCUGAGGAGCGAAAGCGUGGGUAGCAAACAGG